rnacentral:lncRNA from 1 species
UCGGGCGCGAUGGCGCCUACUGCCCCCAGCAUGGCAUACCUCCCGUUGAUGACCUCACCGUAGGCCAGCCAUUUGGGCUCGAUGAAUCCUCCGGUGCCUUCGGGGUCCGACAGGCCAAGGGGGUCAAAGCCGUAGUCACCGGGGAGGCUGCAACCACGACAAGUUAGUUAAGUUCCGGUGAAGAGGGAGCUCAUGAUCCAUGGGCGAACUCAUAUUACUUGUGCUUUACCUUCCGUCCAAGUAGGUGAGGGACUGCUUGGAGGCAAACCAGAGCUGUCUGUCUGCUCCUUGCUGCAAAAGAUACCAGACGGAUCAUGGAUCCAUGUGACGAGAUAGAAGCUAUUCCAUACACUACCGGUCGGCAGAAGCUAAUCCAAGAAGAGAUCAAAACGAUUACUGUGCCAAGUUGCGACUGACCUUGACGGGAGGCGUGGAAGCUGCUCUGACGGCGAACGAAGCCUUCCUCGAAGAACCAAGAGAUCUCGAGGGAGCAGACCGGAGGGGCCUUCCCCCGAGGAGCUGCCUUCCAGCCUCCACCGAGGAGAGAAAAGCCUGGGUUGCCAUCGGUGUUCGCUGC